rnacentral:misc_RNA from 1 species
AAGUCGUAACAAGGUUUCCGUAGGUGAACCUGCGGAAGGAUCAUUAACACGUAUCCAACGUAAAAAACCCCCCUGUGAACAUUCAAACCUGCUCUCGUAGCCCAGUGCGAUCCAGCAAUCCCGGUAAAUCAUUGUCGAACAGUAUUGAUUCGGGACUUCUGACAAAUGAGAAGUUACAGUUACGAUUGAGCGGAGAUAGCUGCAUGGCAUCCCGAAGCAGUCAGUGUCUGAAAGCGUCAUUGAUUGUCUAAGGAUCUCGAGAGGUCGCUCACCGACCGGCAGACAUGCAACCGGGUCCCCACGCCCCUUUACAACCCGAAUACCUCUGUGAGUCUAGGCGGACGCACUAGGCUAAAAAAACCUCGAACAACUGUUAACAAUGGAUAUCUUGGUUCUC